rnacentral:lncRNA from 1 species
GGAGGAAAGCCACAUCUAGGGGCCGGAGCCUGUAUCAGGAAUUGAUUGGUCAGGACUCAGUUUCAAGUACUGAGCUUUCUCCAGCCUCCGCACCAUUCCACUUCCCAGGAUGUUAUCCAGACCCUCUGCCGAAGGGUGAGAUGAAGUAGAGGCAGCAGUGGACUCUAGAAUCCUGGAUGUUCUUCCUGUUCAAGCCACUCUCGUCCCUGAGGUACUGCUCAAACUGCUCCUCGAUGAAGCGAACCACAGGCAGCCAGCUGGAGUGUGGAGAGGAGAUAGGUAGUCUAAGAUCACAGGGCAGGGGACAGGAUGAAGCUAGCCAGGGCUGUGCAGUGCAAAGUAACUUCUUUGUUCCUAACCAAAGCCAUCAUCAGGGACAGCUGGCAACGGAACAUCAAGAAAUGUGGUGGCUGCACACCUGUAAUCUUAGCACUCAGGAAGCUGAAGCAGGAGGAUUGCCACAUUUGAGGCCAACAUGGCCUACAUAGUGAGUUCCAGGCCAGUUUGGGCUAAUAUGACACCAUCUCAAAAAAAAAAAAAAAAAA